UACGUAGGUGGCAAGCGUUGUCCGGAAUUAUUGGGCGUAAAGCGCGCGCAGGCGGCCUUUUAAGUCUGAUGUGAAAGCCCCCGGCUCAACCGGGGAAGGUCAUUGGAAACUGAAGGGCUUGAGUACAGAAGAGGAAAGCGGAAUUCCACGUGUAGCGGUGAAAUGCGUAGAGAUGUGGAGGAACACCAGUGGCGAAGGCGGCUUUCUGGUCUGUAACUGACGCUGAGGCGCGAAAGCGUGGGGAGCAAACAGG
rnacentral:rRNA from 1 species